rnacentral:lncRNA from 1 species
CCUCUACAGAACACUAUGGCUCUUCUACCCCUACAGCAGGGGGUUCCUUGGCAUAAGUGGAGUGAAAGUUCAUUAAUAAGAAGCAGGGCCGAAGGGAAGAAAAGUUUCACAUCAAGCUGAUCUCUGUAGCCAUUUUGUCUGGAGCCAGGAUCUGAAAUUGAGUGUUUCAAUUUAUGACUGUAUUUUAAGUGAGCUUUUUCACAAUCAUCUCUUGGGUUCUGCUGCAUAUGUGUAGACGGUACACCAAAAUGUCAUCUCCCAGCAGAGCAAAUGGAUUAAGGGUAGGAGCUCUGGAGUUCAAAUCCUGUCUUCAGAAUGUGCCAGCUGUUUUAUGUGAGUGAGUUCCUUAACCUCUCUGGUUUCCUAAUCUCUUAGUUUUCUCAUCUGUAAAACGGUGAUAAUAAUCAUACAUACUUUCUCGAGUUGUUUUGAGGAUUUAACGGGCAUAAAAUGCCUAGGAUAAAAUGCCUAGGAUAAUGCAUGAAAAAUGUGGGCUGUUUUAUUUUGGUAGAACCAAGCAAAGACCCGGUCAGAAUUAUUCUUCCUGGACAAGCUAGCUCUUUGAAUAAAGAGCUUUAAAUAAGCCUUAGCAUAACACACACGUUUGCGUGAGCACACACACACACACACACACACACACCCCUCCAGCCUCUGAGCUAUACAACAACCACCUCUUUUGAAGAUAUCAUGUCCACGUUACCAUUGGUCUUGCUGCACUGCAGGGCCUUUCGUCAUGAAAUCACCUCGCUGCAGGAAAUCAGGAUGUGGCAAUAUUGAAAUGCCUGCAGGAGACAAUAUGAGGUGCAGCACUGCUCUAUCUGACUGCCAGCUCGGACUCGCAAUGUGUUGAGGAUGGAUUGAAGAAUGAAAUCUGGAUUGUAUCACUGAGGGUUUUGAUGAAGAAAAAUGGAAAGCUGAAAACCUUGUGAAUUUAUAUCUGGCUCUGUAUCAAGAGAAGCGUCUCAUUCUCCAGAGGUGAUCCUGUGGACAGGGGUCUAGGUGAGACCUGCAUGCUAGAGACCACUUAAUGUCUUCUUAUAGAUGGAGAGGCAAAUUAGGC